rnacentral:sRNA from 1 species
AAAUUAACAACGCAAAAUAAUAACAUUCUCGGGACAUGCAUACUUUGAUGCGAGGUUAUCAACCACGGUAGCCCAAGACCAUUGAAAGCUCUCGGACAGGAUGGAGAACAAACACUACCGAACAAUCUUGGGUGCGGUGCUUCCCUGUCCUCUCCGAGGGCGAUGGGAAGGAUCGCAAUGAUUGAGCGUACAU